CUGUGAGGUCGCAGCCCCUUUGCCCUCACAAUGCCCAAGGGCCCCCCGGCGUCUAUAAGAGGCCGCAGGGCCAACCCCUGGCUCACAGCCCACGGAGUUCCACCUGCUCACAGGUUGGCUGGCUCAGCCAAGGUAGUGCCCUGCUCUGAGCGACCAGGCCAAGCCAUCCUGCACCAUGGCCAGGUACAGAUGCUGCCGCAGCCAGAGCCGGAGCAGAUGCUACCGCCAAAGACGAAGAGGUCGCAGACGAAGGAGGCGGAGCUGCCGGAGACGGAGGGCCAGCAGGUGCUGCCGCCGCAGGUACAAGCUGCCAUGUAGAAGAUACUAAUUGCACAUAAUUGCACAAAAUAGCAAGUCCACCAAACUCCUGCCUGAGAAUUUUACCAGACUUCAAGACCCUCUUGCCACAUCUUGAAAAUGCCACCAUGCAAUGAAAAACAGGAGCCUGCUAAGGAACAAUGCCGCCUGUCAAUCAAUAAAUGUUGAAAAGUCA